CAAGUCGAACGGGGUGGAGGGGCAACUCUCCAUUCAGUGGCGAACGGGUGAGUAAUGCAUCGGAACGUGUCCCGUAGUGGGGGAUAACGCCGCGAAAGCGGCGCUAAUACCGCAUACGCUCUGAGGAGGAAAGCAGGGGACCCGCAAGGGCCUUGUGCUAGGGGAGCGGCCGAUGUCCGAUUAGCUAGUUGGUGGGGUAACGGCCUACCAAGGCUACGAUCGGUAGCUGGUCUGAGAGGAUGAUCAGCCACACUGGGACUGAGACACGGCCCAGACUCCUACGGGAGGCAGCAGUGGGGAAUUUUGGACAAUGGGGGCAACCCUGAUCCAGCCAUGCCGCGUGCGGGAAGAAGGCCUUCGGGUUGUAAACCGCUUUUAGCCGGGAAGAAAAGGCGCGGGCUAAUACCCCGUGUUUUUGACGGUACCGGCGGAAUAAGCACCGGCUAACUACGUGCCAGCAGCCGCGGUAAUACGUAGGGUGCGAGCGUUAAUCGGAAUUACUGGGCGUAAAGCGUGCGCAGGCGGUUCGUUGUGUCGGUGGUGAAAGCCCCGGGCUCAACCUGGGAAUGGCCAUGGAAACUGGCGAACUGGAGUGUGGCAGAGGGGGGUGGAAUUCCGCGUGUAGCAGUGAAAUGCGUAGAGAUGCGGAGGAACACCGAUGGCGAAGGCAGCCCCCUGGGCUAGCACUGACGCUCAGGCACGAAAGCGUGGGGAGCAAACAGGAUUAGAUACCCUGUAGUCCACGCCCUAAACGAUGUCAACUAGGUGUUCGGGAAGCGAUUUCUGGGUACCGUAGCUAACGCGUGAAGUUGACCGCCUGGGGAGUACGGCCGCAAGGUUAAAACUCAAA
rnacentral:rRNA from 1 species